rnacentral:rRNA from 1 species
AACGAACGCUGGCGGCAUGCCUAACACAUGCAAGUCGAACGAGACCUUCGGGUCUAGUGGCGCACGGGUGCGUAACGCGUGGGAACCUGCCCUUAGGUUCGGAAUAACUCCCCGAAAGGGGUGCUAAUACCGGAUAAUGUCUUCGGACCAAAGAUUUAUCGCCUUUGGAUGGGCCCGCGUUGGAUUAGCUAGUUGGUAGGGUAAAAGCCUACCAAGGCGACGAUCCAUAGCUGGUCUGAGAGGAUGAUCAGCCAGACUGGGACUGAGACACGGCCCAGACUCCUGCGAGAGGCGGCAGUGGGGAAUAUUGGACAGUGGGCGAAAGCCUGAUCCAGCGAUGCCGCGUGGGUGAUGAAGGCCUUAGAGUUGUAAAGCUCUUUUACCCGGGAUGUUAGUGACGGUACCUGGAGAAUAAGCUCCGGCUAACUCCGUG